rnacentral:rRNA from 1 species
AGAUAUUAGAAAGAAUACCAAUUGCGAAGGCAGCUUUCUGGAUCAUUACUGACACUGAGGAACGAAAGCAUGGGUAGCGAAGAGGAUUAGAUACCCUCGUAGUCCAUGCCGUAAACGAUGUGUGUUAGACGUUGGAAAUUUAUUUUCAGUGUCGCAGGGAAACCGAUAAACACACCGCCUGGGGAGUACGACCGCAAGGUUAAAACUCAAAUGAAUUGACGGGGACCCGCACAAGUAGUGGAGCAUGUGGUUUAAUUCGAAGAUACGCGCAGAACCUUACCAACACUUGACAUGUUCGUCGCGACUCUAAGAGAUUAGAGUUUUCGGUUCGGCCGGACGAAACACAGGUGCUGCAUGGCUGUCGUCAGCUCGUGUCGUGAGAUGUUGGGUUAAGUCCCGCAACGAGCGCAACCCUCACUUUUAGUUGCCAUCAUUAAGUUGGGCACUCUGAAAGAACUGCCAGUGAUAAGCUGGAGGAAGGUGGGGAUGACGUCAAGUCCUCAUGGCCCUUACGUGUUGGGCUACACACGUGCUACAAUGGCAUCUACAACAGGAAGCAAAACGGCAACGUUAAGCAAAUCCCGAAAAGAUGCCUCAGUUCGGAUUGCACUCUGCAACUCGAGUGCAUGAAGCUGGAAUUACUAGUAAUCGUGGAUCAGCGUGCCACGGUGAAUGCGUUCCCGGGUCUUGUACACACCGCCCGUCACACCAUGGGAGUUGGUUCUACCUUAAGGCAAGGUUUCAAACCCUUGACCACGGUAUAGUCAGCGACUGGGGUGAAGUCGUAACAAGGUAACCGUA